GAUUAUCGUGGAGAGGCCACACCCGUUCCCAUUCCGAACACGGAAGUUAAGCUCUCCAACGCCGAUGGUACUGCCCCUUGGGGUGGGAGAGUAGGUCGUCGCCAGGC
rnacentral:rRNA from 1 species